CAGCUCCCAUGAUUUAAGCAGCCGGUGAAGCAAACCAGAGCUCUGCAGUGCUCAAAGUUUCUUCCUCUCUCAGCCCCUUUUGCUGCUGUAUGUUUUUUUUUUUUUUCUUAGGCAGGUCCGAUCCUAACAGACAAGAACAAGUGAUUAAAAUUCGGGCCUAUUUUUUGCUCGGUGGAGUGAAGUUUGGGAACUCUUGUUUGCUGUCGCCCCAGGGGGACGCACAGAUGGACAGAGGAGUACCAGACAAGACAUGAAGGAAAUCCUUGAAGGUUACCCUGGAGGAUGAAGAGAGAAGGUCAUCCAAAAAGGCAACAACGAACCACACCACCACAGAGCCAAGUCCUCUCAAUACAAGGUGCUACUGGUCAAGAGCCAACAAUGGGCAUAAAGGAGGUAUCGCUUUUGUUUCCUGGCUCUGGAUGUAUUUGUCAAGGUCAGACGAGCGCGAGCCAGGAGGAUAAAGGUCAGUAGCAUGAAUAGACGAGCAGUUACAGAUGCCUGAUUGCAAAUGUAUUCUGCCCCCCCCCCCCCCCCCCCCCCCCGACGACAAGGUGCAGAUAACCUAAUCUCAGACACUGACACAAACAAAGAUAAAUCUGUAUGAAAAGGAAACGCAAAGCAUGAACAGUGAAAUAAAGCA
rnacentral:lncRNA from 1 species